rnacentral:rRNA from 1 species
AGCCUGAACGCUGGCGGCGUGGCUAAGACAUGCAAGUCGCACGGGGUAGCAAUACCCAGUGGCGAACGGGAGAGUAAUGAAUCGCUAACGUACCCCGGACUCUGGGAUAGCUACCCGAAAGGGUAGGUAAUACCAGAUUACAUAACUUACAGGCAUCUGUGAGUUCUCAAAGGUCCGCCGGUCUGGGAGCGGGCGAUUUCGUAUCAGCUAGUUGGUGAGGUAAUGGCUCACCAAGGCGACGACGCGUAGCCGGACUGAGAGGUUGGCCGGCCUCAUUGGGACUGAGACACUGCCCAGACUCCUACGGGGGGCUGCAGUAACGAAUCUUCCGCAAUGCACGAAAGUGUGACGGAGCGACGCCGCGUGUGGGACGAAGUCCUUCGGGAUGUAAACCACUGUCAGGGGUUACCAAGUUCUGAGGAGCCCCAGAGGAAGGCACGGCUAACUCUGUGCCAGCAGCCGC